rnacentral:snRNA from 14 species
ACACUUACCUGGCAGGGAAGAUAGCGUGACUAUGGCGGGCUCUGAAGCUUGAGUACUGCAUUGAUCCUAACAUUGGAGGACUCAGCUGCUUCAUCUGUGAUGGUGGGGGUCUGUGCGCACACUCUCCUG